rnacentral:rRNA from 1 species
AUUGAACGCUGGCGGCAGGCCUAACACAUGCAAGUCGAACGAGUGGCGGACGGGUGAGUAAUGUCUGGGAAACUGCCCGAUGGAGGGGGAUAACUACUGGAAACGGUAGCUAAUACCGCAUACCAUCGGAUGUGCCCAGAUGGGAUUAGCUUGUAGGUGAGGUAACGGCUCACCUAGGCUACGAUCCCUAGCUGGUCUGCGAGGAUGACCAGCCACACUGGAACGGAGACACGGGCCAGACGCCGACGGGAGGAAGCAGUGGGGAAUAUGGCAAAAGGGGCGAAAGACUGAGGCAGCCAUGCGGCGGGGAUGAAGAAGGCCUUCGGGUUGUAAAGUACUUUAAGAGGGGAGGCGUUACCCGCAGAAGAAGCAACGGCUAAAUCAGGGCCAGCAGCCGCGGGAAUAC